AUUGAACGCUGGCGGCAUGCCUAACACAUGCAAGUCGAGCGGAGCGGCGGACGGGUGAGUAAUGCCUACGAAUCUGCCUGGUAGUGUGGGAUAACGUCCGGAAACGGGCGCUGAUACCGCAUACUAUCAGAUGAGCCUAGGUCGGACUAGCUAGUGGGUGGGGUAAAGGCCUACCAAGGCGAGGAUCCGUAACGGGUCUGAGAGAAUGAUCAGUCAAACUGGAACGAAGAACCGGUCAAGACUCCUAGGGAGGGAAGCAGUGGGGAAUAUUGGACAAGGGGGGAAAGCCUGAUCCAGCCAUGCGGCGUGUGUGAAGAAGGUCUUCGGUUUGUAAAGCACGUUAAGUUGGGAGGCGUUACCAAAAGAAAAAGCACCGGCUAACUUCGUGCCAGCAGCCGCGGUAAUAC
rnacentral:rRNA from 1 species